UUAGAAGAGUUAAAUGCUUGUCAAUUGGACCCCAAACAGAUGGCUGCUUGUGCAUUUGAUGGAGCUGCAAACUUUUCUGGAAGACAAGGAGGAGUACAAGCUUUGUUCGGAGAAAAAAGUGUAACACUAAUCUCUCCUAUACGCACUGCAGAGGCCAUCUACUCCAACUAGCACUAGUACGAGCUGCAGACUCUUCAAAAGACAUUAAAAAGCUAUAAAUUUAAUCACAGGUUUCAGAGUAGCAGCCGUGUUAGUCUGUA